UUCACGCUAUCCUGUCGACCGACUGUCCGCCUCCGCCUCCGCCUCCGCUGGAUCUUCCUCUACGACGGUCAAAGAAGGGGAAGGGCAUGAGAUUGAAUGGAGGAAGGGGAGAAGGCGGGGCGGGAGUAAGAUGAGCGCCGCCGCGAUCGCUCCUCCCAUCGAGGAUAUCAUGCCCUUGAGCCGCUCCUCGCCGUGCGAUGGAUGAGACGUAGGGUUCCGUCGGAACCACAACCAGCUUGUCCCUCAGGUUGGGGCAGGCGAUCUUCUCCUCCGCCGCCCUACUCCUCAUGUCCGUCGGCGUCAGGUUCUACAGCUAUACCGCUUUCUGCUGAUAACGCGGCACCUGCCGAGGAGCUCCAGCAUCGUGAGCCUACGGGAGGCGUGCGAGGAUGACGGAGUUGUGCAUUUGAUCAUGGAGCUGUGUGAGGGCGGGGAGCUCUUUGACCGCAUUGUGGCGAGGGGCCACUAGUCAGAGCGCGCGGCAGCUGUGGUCAUGAAGACCAUUGUUGAGGUCGUGCAACUCUGCCAUUGCCAUGGGGUGAUCCAUCGAGACCUCGAGCCAGAGAAUUUCUUGUUUUCAAACAAGAAGGAGAACUCACCCUUGAAGGCAAUUGACUUUGGGUUGUCAAUAUUCUUCCAGCCUGGUGAAAGAUUUUCUGAGAUAGUUGGAAGCCCUUAUUACAUGGCUCCAUAAGUUUUUAAAUGGAAUUAUGGACCAGAACUUGAUAUAUCAAGU